ACCUACGGGACGCAGCAGUGGGGAAUAUUGGACAAUGGGCGCAAGCCUGAUCCAGCCAUGCCGCGUGUGUGAAGAAGGCCUUCGGGUUGUAAAGCACUUUCAGUAGGGAGGAAGGGUGUUGUGUUAAUAGCACAGCAUUUUGACGUUACCUACAGAAGAAGCACCGGCUAACUCUGUGCCAGCAGCCGCGGUAAUACAGAGGGUGCAAGCGUUAAUCGGAAUUACUGGGCGUAAAGCGCACGUAGGCGGUUUUUUAAGUCAGAUGUGAAAGCCCCGGGCUCAACCUGGGAAUUGCAUUUGAAACUGGAAAACUAGAGUGUGUGAGAGGGGGGUAGAAUUCCAAGUGUAGCGGUGAAAUGCGUAGAGAUUUGGAGGAAUACCAGUGGCGAAGGCGGCCCCCUGGCACAACACUGACGCUCAGGUGCGAAAGCGUGGGGAGCAAACAGGAUUAGAUACCCGGGUAGUCA
rnacentral:rRNA from 1 species